UGGUGGGUAGUUUGACUGGGGCGGUCUCCUCCUAAAGAGUAACGGAGGAGCACGAAGGUUGGCUAAUCCUGGUCGGACAUCAGGAGGUUAGUGCAAUGGCAUAAGCCAGCUUGACUGCGAGCGUGACGGCGCGAGCAGGUGCGAAAGCAGGUCAUAGUGAUCCGGUGGUUCUGAAUGGAAGGGCCAUCGCUCAACGGAUAAAAGGUACUCCGGGGAUAACAGGCUGAUACCGCCCAAGAGUUCAUAUCGACGGCGGUGUUUGGCACCUCGAUGUCGGCUCAUCACAUCCUGGGGCUGAAGUAGGUCCCAAGGGUAUGGCUGUUCGCCAUUUAAAGUGGUACGCGAGCUGGGUUUAGAACGUCGUGAGACAGUUCGGUCCCUAUCUGCCGUGGGCGCUGGAGAACUGAGGGGGGCUGCUCCUAGUACGAGAGGACCGGAGUGGACGCAUCACUGGUGUUCGGGUUGUCAUGCCAAUGGCACUGCCCGGUAGCUAAAUGCGGAAGAGAUAAGUGCUGAAAGCAUCUAAGCACGAAACUUGCCCCGAGAUGAGUUCUCCCUGAGACUUAAAGUCUCCUGAAGGAACGUUGAAGACGACGACGUUGAUAGGCCGGGUGUGUAAGCGCAGCGAUGCGUUGAGCUAACCGGUACUAAUG
rnacentral:rRNA from 1 species